rnacentral:lncRNA from 1 species
UCCCGUGUGCUCUCCAUUGCUGCCCCUCCCCCUACCCAUCGACUCCAGCACGCACCAAUGUGUUCGAUGAAAUGGGCACAAGGUAUUUUCCCCCUUCUUUUUCCUUUCAGUUUUGCUUGCUGAGAUAUGGAUGGGCAUGUUCUGUAUUUAUUCGUGGGUGCACCUCGUUAAGCUUCAUACAUGGAUGAAAUUACUGUUUCCUAAUCCUAAUUAGUUAGAUGACUUCAGAGAAGUUUCCUAGGCGCAACAGUAGCAGUUAAGUAGUGCAAAAGGCAGAGGCAAACCAAUCCUUUUUGCAAUCCAUCGCCCCCAUCAUAACCAACCAUCUUAGUAUGACCCUGUAUUGUGCAGAUGCAAGGUGCUGUGAUGAAUCAUGUCCUUGACCUCGAGAGGAAUUGUUCUCUUCAUGCAGAUCUCGCAAAAUCCAACUCCAGAAUCAUGUCCUUGACCUCGAGAAGAAUUGUUCUCUCCAUGCCUUAAGCUCGAGGACAACUUUACUGCUCUACUAUGUUGUUCUUCAUUAAUGCUGUC